rnacentral:precursor_RNA from 1 species
ACCCAUUCGAACGUCUGCCUUAUCAACUUUCGAUGGUAGUCGCU